GUGAUGGACAGUUGUGUUGGCUUCCACUUUAUUUCCACAAAUUCUUCAGUUCUGUGUGACUGCAAAAAUCUUUCCUCUAUUUCCAGGAGGGUGCUACUGGUUUACGUGAAGACAAAUAUCUUUGGAACAAAAAGACUCUUUUCUGUCAAAGCUGGAAGAUGGUUUUGGCUCUUCUUUUUUAUUAUUAUUGUUUCUAAAUUGUUUUCUUCCUGCCCUCCUUCAGAGAAGUCCAAGAAUACUGCUGGAACUGACAAAAGAUGAAAAUAUGAUUUAUGCUGACAUCAUGUAUUACACAAGCAAAUCUGUUUUGUGAAAGACAGUUUUCUAUGGUGUGGAAAUAAAGAAUCAGUGAAUAGUU